CACUCACACUCACACUGCAUGCAUGCUGACAAGUGUCACUUUGGAACGUUCUAAAACAUUAGUGGGAUCCAAGUGGCAGCCGGGGAGUGGACGUUCGUCCUGCCUGGGAAGAGAAACUUAAUUUCUGGAAAACUCUUCCCCUUCUCUACACACUUCACCUUCUUCCUCAAACUCUCUGACCUCUCAAAUUCUCUAUCUUCUCUCUAAAACCUUUCUCCUUCUCUCUUCUGUAACUCACCAUCCGUUGCUCCGUUCACGUUUCAGCACCGUGAGAACCAUCCCUGCACCGUGAGCUUUCCAUCAAACCGAACAGUUUUGGAUUCUGAAACGGUUUGAGGAGUUUUUGGGGUUUGAACGUUAAGGGUAGAAGAGUAUACUGGAAUCUUGUUUUCUUUUUGAAGAACGAACGCACGCUGCUUAAUCCGGAUGGAGAGGCGUUACUGGAAGAAACGCUGGAAGAAGAAAAUUUGGAGGACGCCAACCUCGUAGAAGUGGAAGUGAGGGCCGAACAGUAGAGGUGUUCGGUUUUUAGUUAGAUUAGCAAGUGGCUGUGAGCGAGCGCACUUUUAUGGUCUGUAUA